AUUGAACGCUGGCGGCAGGCCUAACACAUGCAAGUCGAACGGUAACAGGGAUCAGCUUGCUGAUUCACUGACGAGUGGCGGACGGGAGUGUAAUGUCUGGGAAACUGCCUGAUGGAGGGGGAUAACUACUGGAAACGGUAGCUAAUACCGCAUAACGUCUCAAGACCAAAGAGGGGGACCUUCGGGCCUCUUGCCAUCGGCUGUGCCCAGAUUGGAUUAGCUAGUAGGUGGGGUAACGGCUCACCAAGGCGACGAUCCAUAGCUGGUCUGAGAGGAUGACCGGCCACACUGGAACUGAGACACGGUCCAGACUCCUACGGGAGGCAGCAGUAGGGAAUAUUGCACAAAGGGCGAAAGCCUGAUGCAGCCUUGCCGCGUGUAUGAAGAAGGCCUUCGGGUUGUAAAGUACUUUCAGCGGGGAGGAAGGUAGUAAAGUUAAAACCUUUACUUCUUGACGUUACCUGCAGAAGAAGCACCGGCUAACUCCGUG
rnacentral:rRNA from 1 species